UAUUUAAUAUUAGUUUAUUAAUUUUUAAUAGAAAUAAUUUUAAUUAUUUUAAUUUUUAGUAUAUUUUAUAGAAAAAAUUUUAUUAAUUAUAGUUUAAUUGUAUUGUAAAAGAUAAUUGAAAUAAUUUAUUAAUUAUUAAUAAGUAAAAUUUAAUUUUUGUACCUUGUGUAUCAGGGUUUAUUAAAUAAAUAUUAAUUAUAUUAAUUUUCUCGAUUUUAAGAGAGCUAAUAAAUUAUUUUUUUUAUUGUAAAAAAAAUAUUUAUAAUAAUUUAUUGGUAAUGAAAUGUUAUUCGUUCUUAAAUAUAUCUAGUUUAUUUAGAAAUGAAUUUAAUUCAGAUAUUUUAAUUUUAAUGGAUUAAUUUGUUAAUUUAUUAAAUUUUAAUAUUAAUAGUUAAAGGGAUUAGCUUUUAAUUAAAUUUUUAUAAAUUAAAUAAGAUAUUUUAAAAAAUGUAAGUUUAGAAAUAGCUAUCAAUAAUAAUAUGUUAUAAUUAAUUUAAUUUUUUUUAUAUUAUUUUAUAUAAUUUUAAUUUUUUUUAUAAAUAAAUAAUUUUUAAUUUUUAAAGAUUAGAUAUAAUGAUAGAAUUAGUAUAUAUUAAAUAUUUAAAUAAUAUUUUAUAAAAGAUUAUUUAAAGGAAUUCGGCAAAAAUUUUACUCGCCUGUUUAACAAAAACAUGUCUUUUUGAAUUAUAUUUAAAGUCUAGCCUGCCCACUGAAAUUUUUAAAUGGCCGCAGUAAUUUGACUGUGCAAAGGUAGCAUAAUCAUUAGUUUUUUAAUUAAAAGCUCGUAUGAAAGGUUGGACGAAGUAAAAUCUGUCUCUAUUUAAUUUAGAUUAGAAUUUAAUUUUUAAGUUAAAAAGCUUAAAUAUUUAUAAAAGACGAGAAGACCCUAUAGAGCUUUAUAAUUUAUUUAAUAUAAUUAAUUAAGAUUUAUUUAAGUUUUAUUAAUAUAAUUAUUUUAUUGGGGUAAUAGGAAGAUUUAAAAAAUUCUUUUUUAUUAUUAACAUUUAUUUAUGGUAUUAAUGAUCCAUUUUUAGUGAUUAUAAGAUUAAGUUACCUUAGGGAUAACAGCGUAAUUUUUUUAGAGAGUUCAUAUCGAUAAAAAAGGUUGCGACCUCGAUGUUGGAUUAAAGAUUAGUUUAGGUGUAGAAGUUUAAAUUUUUGGUCUGUUCGACCAUUAAAUCUUUACAUGAUCUGAGUUCAGACCGGUGUAAGCCAGGUCGGUUUCUAUCUUUAUUAAAUUAAAAUAUUUUAGUACGAAAGGACCAAAUAUUUGAUAUAUUGAUAUUUAUAUUUUUUGAAUAUUAUUA
rnacentral:rRNA from 1 species